GGAGCUCACGCACAAGGACACACACUACAUCACAGCACUGCACGAUGGCUGCCGGUCUGGUUCAGGUCAGGAGAGGACGGUGUUAGAGUUUGAUGCCCCUGAGUCAGACUCUCUCCCCCUCAUCGAUGUCUCUGUCUCCGACUUCGGACACAACAACCAGAAGUUUGGCUUCCAACUGGGUCCCGUCUGCUUCAACGGUUAACGGCAGCCCUCCACAGCCGGUAACUGGGAUGAGACGGCCGGUAACAGGGUUGAGAUCCACGGACAUUUACACAGGGGAAACCAGGAGACUGACUGAUGCCGCCAGAGAGAUAUUUAUAUAGCUUUACCCCAGCACUCAUCCAUUCAUACUAACAAACACUCAUCCAUUCAUACUAACAAACACUCAUCCAUUCAUACUAACAAACACUCAUCCAUUCAUACUAACAAACACUCAUCCAAUCAUUAAUUCCUACUAACAGACACUCAUCCAUUCAUUCAUACUAACAAACACUCAUCCAAUUAUUAAUUCCUACUAACAGACACUCAUUCACUCAUCCAUUCAUACUUACAGACAUUCAUUCAUGAAUUCAUCGAUUCAUCCAUUCAUACUUAGACAUUCACCCAUUCAUCCAUUCAUACUAGCAGCCUGGUAAUGGGGUUGAGAUCCACAGACAUUUACACAGGGAAAACCAAGAGACUGACUGAUGCUAUCAGAGAGAUAUUUAUAUAGCUUUACCCCAGCACUCAUCUUUUCAUACUAACAGACACUCAUCCAUUUGUCAUUCAUUCAUACUUACAGACACUCAUUCAUCCAUUCAUACUUACAGACACUCAUUCAUUCAUUCAUCCAUUCAUCUUUUCAUAAUUACAGACACUCAUUCAUUCAUUCACCCAUUCAUCUUUUCAUAAUUACAGACACUCAUUCAUUCAUUCACCCAUUCAUCUUUUCAUAAUUACAGACACUCAUCCAUUCAUCCAUUAAUUCCAGCAGACACUCAUUCACUCAUCCAUUCAUCCAUUCAUACUACACACACUCAUUCAUGAAUGCAUCCAUUCAUUGAUUCCUCUGUUAAUACUUACGGACACUCAUCCAUUCAUUCAACCAUUCAUCCAUUCAUUCUUACAGACACUCAUUAAUUAAUUAAUCCAUUGAUCGAUUUAUCCAUUCAUACUUAGACACUCAGUCAUUCAUACUUACAGACAUUCAUCCAUUCAUACUUACAAACACUCAUUCAUUCAUCCAUUCAUACUUACAGACACUCGUGCAUCAAUUCAUCCAUACCUUCAUGCAUUCAUUCAUUCAUCCAUUCAUCUAUUCAUCCAUACCUACAUUCAUCCAUCCAUACCUACAUUCAUUCAUACACACAGUGCAUUGUCCAUUCACACAGUUGCUCACUCAUUCAUUCAUCCAUCAUUCCUGCAUUCACUCCUUCUAUAUUCACUCAUUCAUCC